UGCCUACGUCCGAAGUUGGAACUUCGGACGAAGAUAAUUAGGGGAAAAUCACCCGUCUUCUUUCCCAAAAGCAUAACAUCGCGACAUACCCAAAAAAAACCCCAAAAUCAAAUUUGCAGUCAUAAUCGCCCGUCUUCUUCCCAAACGCCACCGCCGCACGCCGUCACCACUCGCAUCCGUUCGCCGCCGGUCUCCUCGCCGCUCGCCGCACGCCGUCCAGCCACCGUCUCUUCUCUGCUCGCUGCGCUGCAAAGCUGCUGCCCAGCCACCGUCGCCGUCCAGAUCUGACGCCUCCAACCCCGUCGCCGUCGCCGUCCAACACCUCUAGCCGCGCCGUCCAGAUUGUACUCAGCGUUGGAUGGGAAAAUGACUGCUGCAUUUCAAAUAGAAAUAUUCAAACCUUCAUACCGAUGGAAACAAUGAAGAUCUACAUGAUUGCGAGAUGGAGCUUGUUCUUGUUGGCUACAUCACAGGAUCCUAUAGCAUGGUAAAACUCAAGUUUCUCGACAUUGUGCAUUGUGGAUUAUGAGCUAAUUGUAGUGUUUAGUGGGUAUAUAUGCAUUGUUUUCUGAAUUUCAGCUUUAAUGAAUUCAUUUUGACUAUAACCAGAGGGGUAAAUGUUCCAAACAAGAGCACUGUUUUGAAUGGUUUUCUUUGGUUCUUCUAGAAGACCAAACAUCAAUGAGAAACAUGCACCUGUCUAAAGUGUCCAGACUCUCCACAUAUUUUGCAAAUCAAUUCUUCCUCCUUUUUCUUCCAGUUUCUCUCGGUUGCUUUGGAUUUAGCUUCCCAAACCUUUGCUUCUCGGCUAGUAAAAUCAGUAGGAACAGCAUUUGGGUCAAGUGCCUCUUCUUCCUCAUCUGAAUCCUGCCUACCAUCCAUCUCACAGUUAUGCAAACAUAGACCAGCCGAUUGAAUGUUGAAGCACACUACUUUCUCAACCGAUUGAAGUACAAGAGUCACUAUUGACUCCACUGAGAGGCGAACCCACCACCUCCCGUAUAAAGGGAAGGUUUUGAUGCCACUGGACUACAAGUUCCUUGGCGGUCAACUGUGAAUCUAAUUUCUUGAUGACUUUGUGAUCUUUUCUACAAUGUACUAUUUCGCAAAUUAUAUUGUGGACCAUGGUCCACAAUGCAUUGUGGAGCAUGAUCAUGACUGAUACUGUAGUUGUGUUGAACAGAUAGUGCAGUUGUGUUGAAAAGAUACUGCAAUUGUGUUGAAAGGAAACUGCAGUUGCGCGGAACAGAGACUGUUCUUCCGUUCAACACAACUACAAUUCCAGACUGAUGACACGGCUUCUGUUUCGCGCAACUACAGUUUCCUUUCAACACAACUGCAGUAUCCGUUCAACACAACUAUAGUAUCAAUUCAACACAACUGCAGUAUCAACCAUGAUCCAUGGUCCACGGUAUAACGACUGGUACUAUUUUGUAUUUUAAAUAUUUUUGUUGCAAACUAUAAGUUUUUGGCAUA